AUGGAUCACACGGAGGCGCUGCCGGACGACGCGCUCGCCGCCAUCAUCGGCCGCCUCGGACCACGUGACCUGGCCGCAUCCCGGUGCGUGCGCAAGGCGUGGCGCGCCGUCGUGGACGCCAGGCGGCUGCUGCUCCCGCACCUCCUCCCGCAUUCUGUGGAGGGCAUCUUCGCCAACUACAACGACCACCACCGCCCGCAAUUCCUCGCCCGCCCCUCCACUUCCUGCGUCGACCACGGCAACCUCCACUUCUUGCCCGACUACACGGAGGGCCAUAGAAAGAUCAUGGACCACUGCAAUGGUCUCCUGCUCUACGGCAACACGAUGGAGUUUUUUGUGGCCAACCCCGCCACGCGGCGGUGGCAGCCCCUGCCUGGACCGCAUGAUGAUGGGGAAUACCGUGAAGCCUAUCUCACGUUUGACCCGGCCGCGUCACCGCACUACGAGGUGUUCUUGAUCCCUCCGAAGGAUCUAGGGCUGUUCGAUGUGACGGACUGCGAGUUGGCGGAGGUACAGCCAGAACAGCUCGUGGAAGAAAGCUUCACUAUAAGUUCAAGAUUCUUGUCCAAACCUCUGUGGAGCACUGAGGUUCCGCAACACUCGACGGAAUGGCCACCGGCCGUGUUAACGCUUGACGUUUUCUCAUCAAGCGCAGGAGAAUGGCAGGAAAGGUCGUUUGUCAGGGAAGGUAGUGCUACGAGGAGGGUGGUCAACGUGCGGGGUUCACUGAUGUUCACAACCAAUUGGGUGACAAGAUGGCGCUACAGCGCCUACUGGCGUGGAGCAUUACACGUGCUGCUUUGUUACGGUACAUUUGUCACUAGGUUAUCCUCAUCUACCGGCAAAUAUCAAGUAAUAAAAACACCAAUAGAUGCUAACGAACACAAAGUUGGACAGCAUUAUCUUGGGAGCUCCAUGGAGGCUGUGUACUUUGCAAAUCUUUGGGAUCGAAUCCGGAUUUGGCACCUGAGUGAAUCAAAUGGUGAGGUAGAAUGGGUGUUGAAGAAUAGCAUUGGCCUUGUUGAGCCAUCGGCAAAUAUAUAUUCGCUCAACCCAUAUGAAAUCUGCGGACCUUGGAUAUUUGAUGACGAUCAUGUUCUUGACAAAUAUGGCAAUAACAAAAGGCUUGAGAAUGUGAUUUCUGAUUGGGACUGGGAUGAUGAUAAUAUUCUCGAUGAGUGUGGACGCCAUCCUGGAUACUGUCCGUUACUUGGAUGUCCAUUACUUGGGUUUCACCCCUACAAAGAUAUUGCCUUCUUCCAUGUGGGGCUAAAAGCAGUGGCUUAUCAUUUUGAUAGCUCAAAAGUUCAGUACAUAGGCUAUAUGCGUCCAAGAGAUAUCUCAUGGUCGGUUGAUGAGUCCUUUAUAUACACCCCUUGUAUGAUCGGAGAUCUUCCAGAGAAGACUAAAAGUUAG
rnacentral:rRNA from 1 species